CAGAUGGAAUUCCAAAUGGUAGGAUGUACGCUUUGGGUGCGUGAGGCUGCAGGUUCGAUCCCUGCUCAUCUGA
rfam:Trichosporon asahii var. asahii CBS 8904 mitochondrion, complete sequence, whole genome shotgun sequence.